GAGACACGGCCCAGACUCCUACGGGAGGCAGCAGUGGGGAAUAUUGGACAAUGGGCGCAAGCCUGAUCCAGCAAUGCCGCGUGAGUGAUGAAGGCCUUAGGGUUGUAAAGCUCUUUCGCACGCGACGAUGAUGACGGUAGCGUGAGAAGAAGCCCCGGCUAACUUCGUGCCAGCAGCCGCGGUAAUACGAAGGGGGCGAGCGUUGUUCGGAAUUACUGGGCGUAAAGGGCGCGCAGGCGGCCUUUGAAGUCAGGCGUGAAAGCCCCGGGCUCAACCUGGGAAUUGCGUUUGAUACUCGAAGGCUGGAGUUCGGGAGAGGAGAGUGGAAUUCCCAGUGUAGAGGUGAAAUUCGUAGAUAUUGGGAAGAACACCGGUGGCGAAGGCGGCUCUCUGGACCGAAACUGACGCUGAGGCGCGAAAGCGUGGGGAGCAAACAGGAUUAGAUACCCUGGUAGUCCUAGCCCUAAACGAUGAUCGCUUGGUGUGGCGGGUAUCCAACCCUGCCGUGCCGAAGCUAACGCGUUAAGCGAUCCGCCUGGGGAGUACGGUCGCAAGGCUGAAACUCAAA
rnacentral:rRNA from 1 species